UACGUAGGGGGCAAGCGUUGUCCGGAAUCAUUGGGCGUAAAGAGCGCGUAGGCGGCCCGAUAAGUCCGCUGUGAAAGUCAAGGGCUCAACCCUUGAAUGCCGGUGGAUACUGUCGGGCUAGAGUCCGGAAGAGGCGAGUGGAAUUCCUGGUGUAGCGGUGAAAUGCGCAGAUAUCAGGAGGAACACCGGUGGCGAAGGCGGGUCUCUGGGCCGUAACUGACGCUGAGGAGCGAAAGCGUGGGGAGCGAACAGG
rnacentral:rRNA from 1 species